AGGAGUAUAGUUCAAUGGUAGAACAACGGGCUUCAACCCCGUGUGUUGUGGGUUCGAAUCCUGCUACUCCUGCCA
rnacentral:tRNA from 1 species